AAGCGUCUUUGUGUAGGAGAAAUCGCUCCGUUUUGUACAUCACAUUUGGCUACCGAAACGAACCGAAAAUUCAGUCACCUACAACGUCAAACUUUUUCCGAAUUAACUCCAUAAUAUCGACCGAAACAUGGCAAACGUUGUUUGGAAUCAAUCCUCAAGGUGUUUUUUCACAUAUCUCUUCAUUGAUAUAUCGUUCGUGGAAGCCUGCAUUCUUCUCUGAAUUCCAUGGAAAAAUACUUGCAGCUGACUUUUGCGCCCCAGUUUCGGCGCAGGACACCGGGCGGACACCUGGUAAAUGUGGUCUCUUAUGGUCAAUCUUCCAAUGAUAUGCCUACAAAUACGUCACAAUGCUGCAGACACCUUGGGGAAACGACAGAAAGGGCUGACUCACUCCUCUCGCAUUCACAGCCAUAUAAGGAGACAAUGGAAAACGGAGCCUCAAAAAUCCUGCUCAUUUCCUGGAUGCCGUGUCAUCUUGGUUUUGCCUGUAGCUCACGUUCUAGGGCACGCACAGAGAAUAUCUUUGCAGUUCUGGACACGUCAGAGUGUUUUCUUUCCAAAGCUACCAAUUAUAUGCAUAGUCGAGCAUCUUUUUGUGACAAAAUAUCUUGUUUAAAACGGGAACGUUUUUCAUCCAAAAAUGAAAUAGCGCCCCCAGAGUUUCAAGAGGUUAAAAAGGUUUGAAAUAUCCAAUAAAUGUCGUUUCACUUCAUGAUUGUGUCCCACUUGUUGUUGAUUCUUCACAAAAAAUACAGUUUUAUAUCUUUAUGUUUGAAGCCUGAAAUAUGGCAAAAGGUCGCAAAGUUCAAGGGGGCCGAAUACUUUCGCAAGGCACUGUAUGUGUGAGUGUUGGAGUGUGCCCCUGGCUAUCCGUAAAUAAAUGAAAAUUAAAAAAAAUGGUGCCCUCUGGUUUUCUUAAUUCAAGGAAUUUGCCGUUUUACUUUUGAUACUUAUGUACAUUUUAUCAAUUCCAUUUACUUUUGACACUUGAGUAGAAGUAUACAAUUAUUUGGUUUUAAAUAUACUUAAGUAGUAUUUUACUGGGUGACUUUCACUUUUACUUGAGUAUGAUAAUUUGGGACUUUUUCCACCACUGCAAUUGAGUGCAGGAAAUGCUGAAAUUAUAAAAGUGCUCAUUAAAAUCACUUACAAUGUGUUGCCACUCUAGGACCACUCACUACUCAUUAAGCAAAUGUAGAACACUUAUUAUUCAAAACCCCAAAAUACCGUCUUAUUUAAAAAUUUAUAAAAAAUAUCGUUCUAUAAUAUUUUGGCCAUUUCGUCCAGCCCUAGUCUCACACCAAAUUUUCAGUUUGUGCUCCAAAAUCCAUUUUGCUCUCGCAACUGUUUACUAUCAUUUUAUAACCAGUGGAAAUUCUAGCCUGUAGCAGUCUACUGAAACGCAAUUGAUCUGGUUUUUGGACAAAUCACGGCUUGACUGCUCUCUAACCAGAUGUUUUACCAUAGAGAUGAAACGAAGGCUGACCAUCAUGAAAAUGUAAGUAUGAUAGUUUUUCAGUAGAGAAUUAGCUUAUCAACUAGCUCGCUAAUCAACUAUGAUUUCAAAAUUGAAAUAGUAAGUAGUUAUUUAUUCUCUUAUAAAAGCAGGCUAUUGACGAGGCAAGCUAGGUUAACGUCAGCUAGCUAGGAAGCUAACUAGCCAAAGUUAUCAAGCCAGCUAACAUAACUAAUGCCAAUGUGGUUUUGUUUUCUAUACCAUCUCUGGCUAAGUCAAGGAGGGGUUUAGAAGGGAGGAAGACUUGGAAGACCAGCAUGGGUGGCAGAAGAGGGAGGAGAGGCAGGGUGAGAACAGACAGGGACGACCUUCACUGGGGAAGAGGUCAGUGAUUGAGGAGAGGGAGCCAAGAGAUGUCAGACUUUGAACCAAAUAAUAGCCAAUAUUGUAAACCGCUAAUUACAUACUUUGAGAUACAAUCUGAUUAAAAAAAGAUUUAACUUUUACUCUGUCAGUUUUUGCGCAGUUAACCUCAAACUGUUUCUCUCAUUGCUCUUUCCAUCCAUCUGCAACAAGUCAGUUCGGUGGGAAAAUGCCCAUAUUUUUUUAUAUUCUCAUAACUCUUUUGCCAAUUGGAUGGAAACCAAGCUACUGCUGAACAGUAUGAGAAGUGUAGGUAAGGGGUGAAUUGAAAACCUAUAUAGGAGGAUAGCUCUCCUCGAGGUGUGUUGGGCAUGAAAUGACAGCAGGCUGUCAUAGGGUCUGACAAGUGGCGUGGAUUGGUACAGGGCAAUUCCACAUUAUUAAGAGUGACGCUGAGACUCAGAUUAAUUACUUUAAAAUGUAUGUCAUACAAACCAAUGAUUGCAAGUUGUUCAAAAUAGUCCUUGUGCAUAGAGUUGUGUGGCUUGUUUCACUUUGAAAUCAUUUGUUUUUGUUUGACAUACAUUAUAAAGUGAGCUGCCCUACAGCUUGGCUCAGCCCCACAUCGUGUUUUAUCACUUAUUUGGCUAAAUGAUUAUCCACAGUUGCCUCUUGUGAUUCAGCCACAGCAGUCUUAACAGUCUUAAAAUAGACUGUUACCUUGAAUGCAAUAUUAAGAUGUCAAAACAUUUUAAACUCCAAUAUAACUUUUUUUACAUCUUAUUUUCCUCUCUCACUCGUUCUCUGGACACAGGUCGUGUGUGUGUGUGUGUGUGUGUGUGUGUGUGUGUGUGUGUAGAGAGAGAACACAUUUGACCAGGUGGAGUCUGGCUUCUACUUCAUCGCCCUGGACUACUACACAACUCAGCACAUGUGUUGCUCCACCUUCCCCAGUGCCCUACUUUUGUUUACUUUUUAACAAUGUCUAUGGAUCAUAACAUUUAUGUUGGGACUUCAAAUCCACACUAAAUGUAAUUCUAUAUCCUGUAUUGUUCUGCACUCUAAAGAUUAUGCUAAUGCCUCACUGUAAGAACCUGGAGAAACUGGUUCUGAGGGAGGUGACAUGGUCACAAAGAGUGCCUGGGGCACUUUCCAGCUCUACGGCUGUCUGGACAACAGCCAGAGGGUGGUCAGCUCUGCUGCACCUGAGAGCUAAAGGUAUGUCACCACACUCCUAACAGUGAUGUAUGCUCAUUUGUGUUUCUUAAAGUGGCGAUCAGCAGUUGAAACAAUAAAACAAUGUACUCCCUACCCAUUUUGGCAAAAAGCUGAGGAAUGGACCUGGAGAAAUUUGACCACUCUCAAAUUCAUAAACAGAGUUAUGGAUGCAAGGACUGACCAUCACGCCUCCUUCUAAAACCCUAUUAGAGGAGACAACCCAAGGUUCCUCGCCUCAGAUCCCCUCCAAUGGGUUUUGACAAGGAUACAAUGGUAGAUCCCAAUCAGAAAAUGACGGUCUGCUGAGAGGGUCAUUGGCUGCAACCUCAAGGUCCUGCACGACUCCAGGGAAAGGAAGGCUGGGGUAAAGAUCAUUUCCAAAGUUUCCCCUCUGGCAAACGGUUCAGGUCAAUCACGACCAAAACCUCCUGAACAGUUUCUUCCCCCGUGCUGUGGGCCUCACUAACCGGUCACCUAUUUUUUUUUUUUUACCUUUAUUUAACCAGGCAAGUCAGUUAACAAGAAAUUCUUAUUUUCAAUGAACAGUGGGAACAGUGGGUUAACUGCCUGUUCAGGGGCAGAACGACAGAUUUGUACCUUGUCAGCUCGGGGGGUUGAACUCACAACCUUUCGUUUACGAGUCCAAUGCUCUAACCGCUAGGCUACCCUGCCGCCCCUAGUCCAUGAUGAUCUUCUCAUCCAUGGAUGUCUCACUCUGCACUAUUCAUUCAGUGACUAUGCACCCUGCACUAUCAUUCCAGAACUGCACAUUGCUCUUUGUACUCUGCACAUUUCUUACAUGCAUCAUUUAUAAUGUAGCAUAUAGUGUUCAUAGUGUACAUACUGUAUGUGGAUCUUUGGAAAUUCUGCAUCUAUAUAUAUUUUGUUCUGUAUAUUCUGUUUAUUGUUGCAUUUUGUUCUGUAUAUUCUGUUUAUUGUUGCAGCACCAUUUCACAGUCAAAUUCCUCUACAUGCAAAUGUAUUCUGACAUGUUAACCUGAGUUUAGUUGGUUUAUCAUGUCAGUUGGAGUUUACAUUAUAUUAUUUGGGACUGGUUAUGUACUGUAGCAGGUAACAGAUUAUACCCUUUGUCUUCAUAUAAUAAAAAAAUCCCGUGUGUGUG